rnacentral:rRNA from 1 species
GUACAGGUGCUGCAUGGCUGUCGUCAGCUCGUGUCGUGAGAUGUUCGGUUAAGUCCGCUAACGAGCGCAACCCUCGCUGUGUGUUACAAGUGUCACACGGAACUGCCGGUCAUAAACCGGAGGAAGGUGGGGAUGACGUCAAGUCAGCAUGGCCUUUAUAUCCUGGGCUACACACACGCUACAAUGGGAAGGGACAAUAGGUUGCGAAGCCGCGAGGCGGAGCCAAUCCAGCAAAACUUCCCUCAGUUCAGAUUGCAGGCUGCAACUCGCCUGCAUGAAGUUGGAGUUGCUAGUAAACGCAGGUCAGCCAUACUGCGUUGAAUACGUUCCCGGGGCUU